rnacentral:snRNA from 1 species
UGUGAGGGCGAUCUGGCUGCGACAUCUGUCACCCCAUUGAUCGCCAGGGUUGAUUCGGCUGAUCUGGCUGGCUAGGCGGGUGUCCCCUUCCUCCCUCACCGCUCCAUGUGCGUCCCUCCCGAAGCUGCGCGCUCGGUCGAAGAGGACGACCUUCCCCGAAUAGAGGAGGACCGGUCUUCGGUCAAGGGUAUACGAGUAGCUGCGCUCCCCUGCUAGAACCUCCAAACAAGCUCUCGAGACAGCUUUUUAGAAUGAAACUGAGUACAGGUUUGGAGCAACAGGCUGAGAUCUGUGUUAGUUAGGUUUUCUAUUGCU